UGGCUGUGUCAGUGAGCGUUGUUUCUUUGUAUGUAAAAAAAUCAGAUUAUUCGAGGCGUAUGUAAAUGGUAAAACCUUUGUCGUUCUGUUCUUUCCGUAACGCCUCGCUGCAAGCGCAUACCAUGCACGAAAGAGAAAGUGCACACCAUAGAGGAUUACAGAGAAUGCCUGCAACAACACUGCCAGCACCCCCAUGCAGGUCUCAACGUUACCGUUUGUUAGAGUUCCUGGUGGUGACCAUCUUGUCCAGCACGAUUUUAA